UUGGAGGGCAAGUCUGGUGCCAGCAGCCGCGGUAAUUCCAGCUCCAAUAGCGUAUAUUGAAGUUGUUGCAGUUAAAAAGCUCGUAGUUGAAUUUCGGGAUCAAUACGUCGGUCGUGCUUCGGUACGUACUGGCGUCAUUGAUUUCUCCCUUCUGACGAACCAUGAUGUCAUUAACUUGGUGUCAUGGGAAAUCAGGACUGUUACUUUGAAAAAAUUAGAGUGUUUAAAGCAGGCUCACGCUUGAAUACAUUAGCAUGGAAUAAUGAAAUAGGACGUUCGAUCCUAUUUUGUUGGUUUUUAGGAUCAACGUAAUGAUUAAUAGGGAUAGUUGGGGGCAUUAGUAUUCAAUUGUCAGAGGUGAAAUUCUUGGAUUUAUUGAAGACUAACUACUGCGAAAGCAUUUGCCAAGGAUGUUUUCAUUAAUCAAGAACGAAAGUUAGGGGAUCGAAGACGAUCAGAUACCGUCGUAGUCUUAACCAUAAACUAUGCCGACUAGGGAUCGGAUGAUGUUUAUUAUUUAAUGACUCAUUCGGCACCUUACGGGAAAC
rnacentral:rRNA from 1 species